UACGGGGGGGGCGAGCGUUGUUCGGAAUUACUGGGCGUAAAGGGCGCGUAGGCGGUUGGAUAAGUCAGCUGUGAAAACCACGAGCUCAACUUGUGGCCUGCAGUUGAGACUGUCUGGCUAGAGUGUGGGAGAGGGAAGUGGAAUUUCCGGUGUAGCGGUGAAAUGCGUAGAUAUGACAUAGAACACCAAUUGCGAAGGCAGCUUACUUCACGAUUAUUGACACUGAGGCACGAAAGCGUGGGGAGCAAACAGG
rnacentral:rRNA from 1 species